ensembl:lncRNA
CUGGUCGAUUGUAACCUGUAGGUUUGGCUGAAUUACCAUUCCGCCCAUUACCAAUAUAAACUGAAUUCUCACCUGUGUUCGAGAGGUGCUUCAUGAACCUCGUUGACCUUGUGUCUCUGAACACCUGGCCCGAAACGAAGAUACCACAAAGGAUCAAAUCAGAUUUUCAGCACUGGGCGUUGUUUGUGUGAGUGAGUUAUCCCCUUGACAGCGAGAGCAAUAGUACCUCGGGGAUUCUGCUGCGAGGCCGAAGGCUAAAAGUACUUGUGCUGAGAGCGAGGCUUUAAACUAAUUCCGUGUUCUCGGUAAGGCGUGGGCGGGGGGUGCUGGAGGAAGACAUGGUUUCCCAGGCUGCGACGCUGGCGGCUAUCCUUCAAUCAGACGGAUUCCCGAUGGCGUCGAGGGCCGUCGGAGCGGCAGGAAACUUCUCGAUUGGCCGGGACAGAACCGAGGAGACGCGUGUCGUCAGGCAGACGGAGGUCGAGAGCAGAUGUCAAAUGGUUUCACGGCUCGAAGGAGGUGAAAGAGGGGAUCAUGAGAGAAGGAGAGGAAGAGAGCAGAGUGUCAGAAGCCUCAUCUAAACACCGUGAUUCAUCUGAGGUCGGCCAGGGAGCCACAACCCAGCAUCUCUGCUCCGGGACCCUGCUGAAGGGGCGGCGUCUCGGCUCGCUGUGUAAACAGUCUUCAAAUAAGAUCUCGGCGGCUAGUCUACCCGACGACACACGCAACCCCACUUAAACCACACUGCCGCUUUAAUCGAUGUCGAAAACAAGAGCUUGUUGUGUCAUUCCUUUGGCUGUUGUC